GCAGAUGUAGUUCAUCGGUAGAACUCCAGCUUCCCAAGCUGGCGAGGCGGGUUCGAUUCCCGUCAUCUGCU
rfam:Lachnoclostridium sp. An169 An169_contig_20, whole genome shotgun sequence.